rnacentral:lncRNA from 1 species
GUUGCUUUGUUGCUGUGUUCUGUUAUUUUGUUGUUUACCUUUUAUAGCUGAUGUGUUUCCCUUGAGUUAAGUUUGUAACCCGGAUUUUGCUUUCUCCAAUUCGAUUUAUGACUUCUGAACAGAGGUAUACUUCUGUUGCCUUUAUUUCUGAUAAUUUCAGAAAUUUACUUUUUUUUUUGGAUUUUUGUUGAUGAAGGCUCAUAUAGCUUUUAGUAAAG